UUUCGCUAAAAAAAAAGCUUUUUAAAAAUUAGAUAGUUGGUUCGUUUGAUAGACAACCAAGUCGUAUUUUUAGUUGAUCUGAAAGGAUGUACAACCACAUUGGGGAUGAAGAACACCCAAAUUUUUCGGAAAUCAGCAGUGAGGAAUAUUGGACAAUGAGCGGAAGCUUGAUCCAGCAAGAUCCCGUGAGUGAAGAAGGAGUUUUUUGUAAAGUCGAAGAAAUGGUCCAUAGUUAGUUUUUGGGCGUUGUGUCUGUUUAUAGCUCUUAUAAUGACGGUAGCUAUAUAUGAAAGCCCCGGCUAACUUCGUGCCAGCAGCCGCGGUAAUACGGAGGGGGCUAGUGUUACUCAUAUUGAUUCGGUGUAAAGGGUAUGUAGGCGGUUUUUUCAGUUAGAACGUAAUCCUAUGAUCGAAAUUAUAGAAGUGUUCUAAAAACAAAUUAACUUUGAGUUUAAAAAAGGAUAACAGUACUUCUAGUCUAGGGGUAAAAUCUGCUGCGGAUUAGAGGGACUAUCGCGGG
rnacentral:rRNA from 1 species